CGACGACCACCUGCGGCCGGAACCCCUGCUCUCCUGGCUCUGCAACUCCAUCCAGACGGAUUCAUCCUCUCCAGAUAAGUCUCCGUGAACAGUAAUACAAGAUACAAUACUACCUAGAGGUUGCUCGCAUUGUCCAUGAUCAUGACCCUACAUAGAGAAGUUGGAAACUUGGAAUGACAAGCCAACUUUGCAGCACACGGAAACUAUUACUCAGUGUGUGUCCUCCUUCAGUUCAUUAUGUGGAUGCCAAAGGAUCGGGAAGGAGCGUGUUAUUGAAACAUCGAGCAGUGACUUUCAUCAUCAAGGUUGCAAUGCUGAAGGCACUCAACUCAAAAUGGCAGGGGGAAGGAAUGUGUGGAGGACGUUGAGGGACUGGCAGGUGGUUUUAUACGUGUUCAUAGUUUUCAUGACGAUCAAGGUGAUGCCCUUGUAUGUCUACAUGGUAAGAUAUUGCCUUGGGCUUGUUACUGUUUUUAGUGGUAUCCGUGGGCUUGUAUUGCUAUGUAUUGGGUCACUUAAGAGUAUUUCAUUACCUAAAAUGUUCUUCUGAUCUGGAUUACUCUUAAAUCUAGAAAUGGCUACUUUCAAAUUUUAACUGUCCUAAUGAGUAAAUCCUAUUAAGUGUCCCAAAAUCAUGGUUGUUAUAAUUUCCUUCUAAAACCGUUUUGAUAAUAGAUUGACCUCCACAUGUGAGAGGAUCAAAAUUUCACGUAAUAUCAUAAAGGCUGGGCUCACAAUAGACUGUCGUUAUAUUGCAAGGUAGCGAGGAUACAAGCUAUGGUUGUAGUCACAAAAUGAAUGAUCAUGGUCAAGAGGUUAGUUUGUAGUGUGGACAAAACUCUAUUAUACUGUCAUUUUGAUGGUGGAUAACACCAUCUAGAUUCUAGAUCUAGAGCAGCUGGUCAAGGAAGCCACAGAGCUGGGAGUUUAAGAAGUUGAGAAGACUUUCGGUUAUUGAAAAUGAUUACUCCCAUAUGUAUAUUGUCAUAAUAACUAAUUUUAUGUUAAAAAAUAGGCUGCUCAGGCCCAUGGCAAUCAAUCUGCAUUCUGCAAUAGAACUUGCUGGUGUCUGGUUUUUUUGUCUUUUCCCUUCAAUCAAUCCACUGGUAUAUCUGUUUACUAUUUUCGUAGUCAAUAUAUCUUUUUUGCCUUUUUAUUUUGAACCCUGCUUGCCUCCCAUUGUGAUUUGUAGCAUGAAGGAUGAGAUUGAUCAGCACUACCUAAGCAACAUUAUUGUUUGCAAAUGACAGUGCUAUAAUUUUAAAAUAACAUCUCAAAUGAUAGCAGAUAAUCUGCACCGAAGAGGGUGCCCAAACUGUGGGUCCUGUGAGCUAUGUCACGCAGCCCUGAGACAAAUACCUAUCUCUUUGUCCACUGCAGUUUCACCUCCCAGGUCUGACAAUUAAUCAGAGCAUGAUCAGCGGUAGAUUUUCCUAUUCCAGGCUCUUACUUUCUCAACAGAAGAUUGGUGGACAAAAGUGAGGAAGAGGGUGCCGAAGAUCAACAGGUGUGACUUUGACACAAUUUCUAAACUGGUACAUUGGAAGAUAUGGAAGGAGAGGAAUUCUAGAAGUUCUGAGAACUUACAACAUUAGGCAGAGGAUGUCUUUGUCGCGUUUAGGGAUGAGAUAGCUAUAUGGCGAUCGGCUGGAAGAGUGAGUUCUCUCUAGCUGACCUGCCGGUGCGUGGAGUUCAGGCAUACUGUGCUCUUUAUCGAUCCAGCGCAUGUCUAGGAUCUACUCCUUGUUUUGCUCCAUCUCGGAGCUGUUGUAACACCUCUGUACUCUCCUUCUUAAUCUUAAUAAAGUUCGUCCUAUGGCCUUUCAACA